rnacentral:rRNA from 1 species
UCAAUGGGCGGGAGCCUGAACCAGCCAAGUAGCGUGAAGGACGACGGCCCUACGGGUUGUAAACUUCUUUUAUAAGGGAAUAAAGUUCGCCACGUGUGGUGUUUUGUAUGUACCUUAUGAAUAAGCAUCGGCUAAUUCCGUGCCAGCAGCCGCGGUAAUACGGAAGAUGCGAGCGUUAUCCGGAUUUAUUGGGUUUAAAGGGAGCGUAGGCGGGCUUUUAAGUCAGCGGUCAAAUGUCGUGGCUCAACCAUGUCAAGCCGUUGAAACUGUAAGCCUUGAGUCUGCACAGGGCACAUGGAAUUCGUGGUGUAGCGGUGAAAUGCUUAGAUAUCACGAAGAACUCCGAUCGCGAAGGCAUUGUGCCGGGGCAUAACUGACGCUGAGGCUCGAAAGUGCGGGUAUCAAACAGGAUUAGAUACCCUGGUAGUCCGCACGGUAAACGAUGAAUGCUCGCUAUGGGCGAUAUAUUGUCCGUGGCCAAGCGAAAGCGUUAAGCGAUCCACCUGGGGAGUACGCCGGCAACGGUGAAACUCAAAGGAAUUGACGGGGGCCCGCACAAGCGGAGGAACAUGUGGUUUAAUUCGAUGAUACGCGAGGAACCUUACCCGGGCUUGAAUUGCAGGUGCAUGAGUCAGAGACGGCUCUUUCCUUCGGGACUCCUGUGAAGGUGCUGCAUGGUUGUCGUCAGCUCGUGCCGUGAGGUGUCGGCUUAAGUGCCAUAACGAGCGCAACCCUUCUCCCCAGUUGCCAUCGGGUAAUGCCGGGCCCUCUGGGGACACUGCCAUCGUAAGAUGCGAGGAAGGUGGGGAUGACGUCAAAUCAGCACGGCCC